AAGCUAAACAAAAAAAAAUUGAAACGACUCAAUCUAUCUAGUCAACUGGCCACUGGCCUCCAUCAAACAUCAUUAAAGCGCAUUUAAUGCUCUGGCCAGAUAACAAGGGAAGAGAGCAGUUUCCAAAAAGAAAUCGCCCAAAACGUUUGUCUGCUAUCCUUUGCUUUCCAGAAAACUCUCCCCUUUCCAAAUCAUUCCGAGGUCCAUUGUCUUCUCCGCUCCUCCGCCUGUUGAACGUAGUUCGGAACGCCACCUACUAGUCAAGGAGUCGUCCUCGAUCGUCGCACAUUCUAGGCCCAACCAGGCCUAAUUGCAACGUCUAGACGCACACCUGAGCCUCCGUAACAAACGAAGAAGAAAUUGCUUUGUGGCAUAUGGUCAUAGAAGCCAAGAUUUCCCCUAAUGAGUUCCUUGCCACCACCUCGAAACCGGAUCUUUCCUGAUAGGGGUUAAAAGGCCCAUCGAAGUUGAUCUUAAUGAAUGGAUCGCAAGGGGGUUCCCACAUCUCAUGAACAAUCCUACGAGUAAGAGUUUUCUUUUCUAAACCAUCUAGUUCUCUUCAGUAAAUAAUGGUCCAGUUUGAUAUCUCCUUUCUCGACAUAUUUUUCCUUUCAUGCACAAGGCGAUUUCUACUUAUCCAGAGUGCCUAUAGAUCACAACAAAAAAGCCUACAUUGCUCACUGGUGGCAAUUCAAAAAACCUAGGUAAUCCAGUCCCAAGAGUUACUAUCCAAAUUAUUUAAUAUCCAUGAGAGAUUCAAACUGACCCAUGUCUUCAUUGUAAGAAGGCAGUCCCGAAAUGUAUGGAUAGAGUCGUCCACAGAAGUACAACACCUCGGACAUUGAGUAUUCACUGCUAUUCUUUUGUACCUUAGAUUAGCUAAAGUAGGCAUAUAAUUCCAUGAUAGCCUCCAAAUUGUAGUUUUUAUUUUCGGAGGUAUAUGUGAGUUCCAUAGCUUUUUGUAGAAGUUACUAGGAUCUGGUUGUAAAAUAUUAUCAAUAGGAAAUAUAUAUAUAAACGAACAUGUUUGCGAACAUAUAAACAAACAUGUUUGCGAUCGUUAAAUGAAUAUGUUCGCGAUCGCUAAAUGAAUUGAGCUCGAACACAAUAAAUAAUAUACGAACCGAGUUUGAUUAAAAAUUUAAACGAACACGAACCGAACACGAAUAACUUCAAAAAUAAACAAAUGAACACGAACAAGUCUUGUUCGUUUGAGUCCGAUUCAUUUACACCCCUAUUUAUGGAUAGGAGAGGACUUUGAAACUCGAUCCAACAAGGGUUCAAAUGUACUAAGAAAAGGGUUAUUAAAUUAAUACAAAGUGGAUGUGUUUGGUCGGAUAUGGAGGAUCAUAUUACGUGGUUAUAUGUUUCCCUAUAGGUCAUAACCACCUAGACCUACUUGAUGACCCUUUUUAACAAUUUAUGGGAUUCUUUAGGGGUCAGCUUUCAACUUCCUUAUUGUGUUUCGUCCAACACUUGUUCUGUGCUAUGUUUCCUCGAUGUAUUGGCAUUAAAGACUCACUCUUCGGUUGCUAAUUUCCUCGAACCCGACAUUUUUAAACUCAUCAACUGGUUCUGAACGGGGAAUCCUUCUACAUAUACAUUCAUAAGUUGCUUCACUAUGGCUACUAGGCAGUUAAAUGCAAUAUGUCUGAUUGAUCGUUGAAGUCAGAAACAGUGGAUGCAUGAUGUGUCAUCCAACUCUAGAUUUGUGGGAGCACAAAUGAAGAUCAGAUCUAAUUAAACACGACUUUAUUGAGCAAGAUAAGUAAAAAUGUCCCCUAUAAUGUUGCACAGCUUAAUAAGAAGUAUAAGAAAGAACAAUGGAAUAAUCACCUUACAAAUUACCCAUGACAGAUAGAUAUGAGCCUCUUCCUUUUAACAAGCCAAAAUAACGAGUAUACUAUAUCAGUCCAACGACUCAUACAACCUUUAAAGGUACACAUAGGCUAUGGUUCUACUUCUCCCACUGCCUGAAGACUUGCUUUCUUCUCCAUGUCUUGUAUGGUUUCGCCAUUCAAGCCCUUAAGUUCCUUCUCUCCAGACUCGG